UGUUGCCAUAGCAAAGUGACCAGGCUGCCAUCAGCAGGCUCUUUCUAAGCAAGGUGGGCUGAUGGGGGUGGGAUUCAGGUUUAUAGCCCCUGCCUCUCCUUCUACACGAGCCUCAGGCAACAGCACCCACGAUGCACACCUGUCCUGAACCCCAGUCCGUUUCGCCUGAGCAGGAGCUGGACCCUUAUGUCACAGGGACAAUUUCCUGAGAAAUGAUAAGCACAGAAGCUUGCAGCCUUGAACAGGAAAAUGGAAAAAGGGGCUCGGAGUGGGGAGAAGUCAGCUGAGUGGACAGUGAGGCCUUGUGCACAUAUUCCUCACGGAUGCUCCUGGCCUCGGCUCUAGAGUCUCUCCCCUGGGGGACAGAAAGGAGAGACCCACCACCGGGGCCAGAGGGGCCAUCAGCACAGCCAGAGUCCUGUAGAGCCUCCGCCUACUUGGGGCCCCUCUCAAAGCUGGAAGCUUGCAAGUGGCUUAGCAAAAGUAUCAGAAAAGUUGAUCUUUUGGCAGCUUCCAAAAUCCAAAGAAGGCCACCAAGCGUUGUGCCUCCUUUUCAGAGGUUCCCAAGAGAGGCUUCUGCAAAAUGUCAGAACUUCUGCCAACUGCCUGGGAGAGCACCCUGAGUGAGAAAUUUCUGGUGACUACACCCAUGUCAAUAAACGCAGCCCAGUCCACAUUUAUAUCCCUCUGUUUGAUCAAGGCGCUCUCAAAAUCCAUUUCCACACGUCCUCCUCCUACCUGUGAAAUAUAAAUCAGUGACUCCGGCAGUUCUUUCUGGGAGUAACUCUUCUCUCCAUCGCGCAUUGUGUCAUCAGGACCACAUGGGGUCUGGAUCCUGAAUAGUCUGGGAGCAACAGGGAUUUGAUGGAACUCAAGGGUAGGCAGAAGCUACUGGAGCUCGAGGGGUCCCCUGAGUCCACAGAGUCUUCCCAGAAGUCACCGUACCAACGGGAUACUCAUGUUCUGACCAGUGCCCUCCCUUUCACUGAAGGGACUUAGUGAGGUUGUGAAUUCAACUGACACCGUAAUUCAGUAACUUCAAAAUCAAUCUCUAAGUUCAGUCUUCAGCAAUUUCAACUCCGUGGCUAUAUGCAAUAAAAGAUUCUUUCAGCAUGGUCAUAUAAUGGCCCUGAAUUUUAUUCUGUGCCUUGAGGCGAACAUUUUGAUUUGAGUCUGUCAUUUUUCUUGCUUUAAAUUAUCC